CCAGACUCCUACGGGAGGCAGCAGUGGGGGAUAUUGCACAAUGGGGGGAACCCUGAUGCAGCGACGCCGCGUGGGUGAAGAAGCGCCUCGGCGCGUAAAGCCCUGUCAGCAGGGAAGAAAAUGACGGUACCUGAAGAAGAAGCCCCGGCUAACUACGUGCCAGCAGCCGCGGUAAUACGUAGGGGGCAAGCGUUAUCCGGAUUUACUGGGUGUAAAGGGAGCGUAGACGGCAGCGCAAGUCUGGAGUGAAAUCCCAUGGCUUAACCAUGGAACUGCUUUGGAAACUGUGCAGCUGGAGUGCAGGAGAGGUAAGCGGAAUUCCUAGUGUAGCGGUGAAAUGCGUAGAUAUUAGGAGGAACACCAGUGGCGAAGGCGGCCUGCUGGACAGUAACUGACGUUGAGGCUCGAAAGCGUGGGGAGCAAACAGGAUUAGAUACCCGCGUAGC
rnacentral:rRNA from 1 species